ACGAACGCUGGCGGCGUGCUUAACCCAUGCCGGUCGUACGGUAAGGCCCUUUCGGGGGUACACGAGUGGCGAACGGGUGAGUAACACGUGAGUAACCUGCCCACAACUUUGGGAUAACGCUAGGAAACUGGUGCUAAUACUGGAUAUGUGCCCCUGCUGCAUGGUGGGGGUUGGAAAGCUCCGGCGGUUGUGGAUGGACUCGCGGCCUAUCAGCUUGUUGGUGGGGUAGUGGCCUACCAAGGCGGCGACGGGUAGCCGGCCUGAGAGGGUGACCGGCCACAUUGGGACUGAGAUACGGCCCAGACUCCUACGGGAGGCAGCAGUGGGGAAUAUUGCACAAGGGGCGCAAGCCUGAUGCAGCAACGCCGCGUGCGGGAGGACGGCCUUCGGGUUGUAAACCGCUUUCAGCAGGGACGAAGCUUUUUGUGACGGUACCUGCAGAAGAAGCACCGGCUAACUACGUG
rnacentral:rRNA from 1 species